rnacentral:rRNA from 1 species
CCUACGGGAGGCAGCAGUGAGGAAUAUUGGUCAAUGGGCGCGAGCCUGAACCAGCCAAGUCGCGUGAGGGAGGACGGCCCUACGGGUUGUAAACCUCUUUUGCCGGGGAGCAACGGGCGUCACGUGUGGCGCCACUGGGAGUACCCGGAGAAAAAGCAUCGGCUAACUCCGUGCCAGCAGACGCGGUAAUACGGCGGUUGCGAGCUGUAUCCGGAUUUAUUGUGUUUAAAGGGUGCGGAGGCUGUGAGGUAAGUCAGCGGUGAAAUGCCCCCGGUCAACGGGGUGAAGGGCCAUGGAUACUGCCUUGCGGGAAUGCGGAUGACGUGGGAGGAAUGUGUGGUGUAGCGGUGAAAUGCAUAGAUAUCACACAGAACACCGAUUGCGAAGGCAUCUCACGAAUCCGCGAUUGACGCUGAUGCACGAAAGCGUGGGUAUCAAACAGGAUUAGAUACCCCAGUAGUC